AGAGUUUGAUCCUGGCUCAGAGCGAACGUUAGCGGCAGGCUUAACACAUGCAAGUCGAGCGACAAAGGGGCUUCGGCCCUGAGUAGAGCGGCGGACGGGUGCGUAACACGUGGAUAAUCUGCCUCGUGGCGGGGGAUAACAGUCCGAAAGGACUGCUAAUACCGCAUGUCAGGUCGGAAACCCUGGUUUCUGACGAAAAAGAGGGCGCCCGCAAGGGGCUCUCACCACGAGAUGAGUCCGCGGCCCAUCAGCUAGUUGGCGGUGUAAUAGACCACCAAGGCUAAGACGGGUAGCUGGUCUGAGAGGAUGACCAGCCACACUGGGACUGAGACACGGCCCAGACUCCUACGGGAGGCAGCAGUGGGGAAUAUUGGACAAUGGGCGAAAGCCUGAUCCAGCCAUGCCGCGUGAGUGAUGAAGGU
rnacentral:rRNA from 1 species